rnacentral:rRNA from 1 species
CACUAAGCGGAGGAAAAGAAACUAACCAGGAUUCCCCUAGUAACGGCGAGUGAAGAGGGAAUAGCCCAGCACCGAAGCCUGCGGCAGGUUUGCUGUUAGGCAAUGUGGUGUUUAGGUCGGCUCGUGGGAUUGCCACUCCAUUCGAAGUCCAGCAUUGAGUAUGGUCUCUUGGAUUUGGCCCAGAGAGGGUGAAAGGCCCGUACGAAUGGAGGUCUCAGACAAGUGAGGCAAUUCACCAGGUCGGCUUUCGAGUCGGGUUGUUUGGGAAUGCAGCCCAAAGUGGGUGGUAAACUCCAUCCAAGGCUAAAUACAAGCACGAAUCCGAUAGCGAACAAGUACCGUGAGGGAAAGUUGAAAAGUACUUUGAAAAGAGAGUAAACAGUACGUGAAACCGCAUAUAGGUAAACGGGUGGCGUCAAGCUGUAAGCCCGGAGGAUUCAGUCGGUUAGGAUGUUGUGUAUGCGCCUGGCGCAUCUAUCAGUCGGAAUAGGAUGUGGUAGUCCACUGGAAUACGGUGGGCCUGGCGAUUCUUCGUCGGGAUAUGCGUACCGGGUGGAAGCCGGAGCAUGCUACUCGUCUGUUGGACUGCCUAGCCGGUGCAAUUCCUCUGUGGUGAACACCACGACCGGUGGUAUUGCCAGUCUGCUCUAGUCAAGUCGUGUGUGGCCAGCUCUCUGAGUUGGUUGCAUGCGAUCACAGGCAAACUCGGUGCACGGCGUAAGGUCGUCUCGGCGGUCUUGCGUGUUAUCGGACAUCGGUUGUCAACGGAUCGUGUUGAUAGGUUGUUGCAUCCACUAUCAAUGGGUCUGGUGGGCUAGGGUGGUAUGAAUAACUGUGCAAGGCAUCGGAGUUCUCGGUCUCAAUUGUAGGCUGUAUCCAUGAUGCAAGUGGUCAUUGGUAAAUGAGGCAACGUUGCGGCCUGCUCGUUCUUCCUGGGUCUGAUUGUCGUGUCGCCUGCACAAAGUAGGCCCGGCAGUGGCUCGGGGCGGGAUGGAGUUGUCUGCGUUGUCUCGUGUGCAGCCUAUUGUGGACCAAACAGUCAGUGGUGUAGUGGUAGACGAGCUACCCGACCCGUCUUGAAACACGGACCAAGGAGUUUAACAUGUAUGCAAGUCAUGGGGUCCUACGAAACCCAAAGGCGCAGUGAAAGUGAAGCUUCGUAUUUUCUCGAAGUUAGGUGAGAUCCUGUCGUUACUCGCAUCCAGUGUGUUGUGUCAGCACCAGGUAAAGAGCGGCAGGCGCAUCACCGGCCCGUCCCAUGAUGUGGUCAUUGGAUUUCUACUGCAGCAGUCAUCUCGGUGGCUGUUGUGGUGCCAGUGCAUCAUCGGGGCGGAGCAUGAGCAUACAUGUUGAGACCCGAAAGAUGGUGAACUAUGCUUGCGUAGGUUGAAGCCAGAGGAAACUCUGGUGGAGGACCGCAGCGAUUCUGACGUGCAAAUCGAUCGUCAAACGUGAGUAUAGGGGCGAAAGACUAAUCGAACCAUCUAGUAGCUGGUUCCCUC